rnacentral:lncRNA from 1 species
UGCAAUUUAAGCAAUCCCAACAAAAUUUAUUCAACCUGCAACACACAGUAAUACUAAUCCCAACCAGCAGCAUGCUUUCAUACAUACACAAGUCAUACUAGAGUGGCCUCCGGCCUCACAAGUAAAAUCUACCAUGGCAAUACAGAGCAUCUACUGAAUUUAGAUUACAAGAACAGUUGAGUAGAAGAAUUUACACAGUUCCUAAUUAG